rnacentral:rRNA from 1 species
CUACGUGCCAGCAGCCGCGGUAAUACGGAGGGUGCGAGCGUUAAUCGGAAUAACUGGGCGUAAAGGGCACGCAGGCGGUGACCUAAGUGAGGUGUGAAAGCCCCGGGCUUAACCUGGGAAUUGCAUUUGAAACUGGCAAGCUAGAGUCUUGUAGAGGGGGGUAGAAUUCCAGGUGUAGCGGUGAAAUGCGUAGAGAUCUGGAGGAAUACCGGUGGCGAAGGCGGCCCCCUGGACAAAGACUGACGCUCAGGUGCGAAAGCGUGGGGAGCAAACAGGAUUAGAUACCCUGGUAGUCCACGCUGUAAACGAUGUCGACUUGGAGGUUGUGCCCUUGAGGCGUGGCUUCCGGAGCUAACGCGUUAAGUCGACCGCCUGGGGAGUACGGCCGCAAGGUUAAAACUCAAAUGAAUUGACGGGGGCCCGCACAAGCGGUGGAGCAUGUGGUUUAAUUCGAUGCAACGCGAAGAACCUUACCUACUCUUGACAUCCAGAGAAUUCGCUAGAGAUAG